rnacentral:rRNA from 1 species
ACUCCUACGGGAGGCAGCAGUGGGGAAUAUUGCACAAUGGGCGCAAGCCUGAUGCAGCCAUGCCGCGUGUAUGAAGAAGGCCUUCGGGUUGUAAAGUACUUUCAGCAGUGAGGAAGGUGGGUAUGUUAAUAGCAUACUCAUUUGACGUUAGCUGCAGAAGAAGCACCGGCUAACUCCGUGCCAGCAGCCGCGGUAAUACGGAGGGUGCGAGCGUUAAUCGGAAUUACUGGGCGUAAAGCGCAUGCAGGUGGUUUGUUAAGUCAGAUGUGAAAGCCCGGGGCUCAACCUCGGAAUUGCAUUUGAAACUGGCAAACUAGAGUACUGUAGAGGGGGGUAGAAUUUCAGGUGUAGCGGUGAAAUGCGUAGAGAUCUGAAGGAAUACCGGUGGCGAAGGCGGGCCCCCUGGACAGAUACUGACACUCAGAUGCGAAAGCGUGGGGAGCAAACAGGAUUAGAUCCCCUGGUAGGCUCU